CAGUCGAACGCAGUAGCAAUACUGAGUGGCAGUCGGGUGAGUAACAUGUGGGAAUCUGCCUUGUGGUUCAGGACAACAUUGGGAAACCGAUGCUAAUACUGGAUAAGCCCUUACGGGGAAAGUUUUAAUGCCAUAAGAUGAGCCCGCAUUUGAUUAGUUAGUUGGUGAGGUAAUGGCUCACCAAGACAAUGAUCAAUAGCUGAUCUGAGAGGAUGAUCAGCCACACUGGGACUGAGACACGGCCCAGACUCCUACGGGAGGCAGCAGUGGGGAAUCUUGCACAAUGGAGGAAACUCUGAUGCAGCGAUGCCGCGUGAGUGAAGAAGGCCUUUGGGUUGUAAAGCUCUUUUGUAGGGGAAGAUAAUGACUGUACCCUAAGAAUAAGGUCCGGCUAACUUCGUGCCAGCAGCCGCGGUAAUACGAAGGGACCUAGCGUAGUUCGGAAUUACUGGGCGUAAAGCGCGCGUAGGCCGUUGAGUUAGUUAAUUGUGAAAUCCCAAAGCUUAACUUUGGAACUGCAAUUAAAACUGCUCGACUAGAGUUUGAUAGAGGAAAGCGGAAUACAUAGUGUAGAGGUGAAAUUCGUAGAUAUUAUGUAGAACACCAGUUGCGAAGGCGGCUUUCUGGAUCAACACUGACGCUGAGGCGCGAAAGUAUGGGUAGCAAAGAGGAUUAGAUACCCUCGUAGUCCAUACCAUAAACGAUGAUUGCUAGAUGUUGGAAAUUUAUUUUCAGUAUCGCAGCUAACGCAUUAAGCAAUCCGCCUGGGGAGUACGUCCGCAAGGUUAAAACUCAAAUGAAUUGACGGG
rnacentral:rRNA from 1 species